rnacentral:rRNA from 1 species
CCUACGGGAGGCAGCAGUGAGGAAUAUUGGUCAAUGGACGAGAGUCUGAACCAGCCAAGUAGCGUGAAGGAUGACUGCCCUAUGGGUUGUAAACUUCUUUUAUAAAGGAAUAAAACGAGGCACGUGUGCCUUUUUGCAUGUACUUUAUGAAUAAGGAUCGGCUAACUCCGGGCCAGCAGCCGCGGUAAUACGGAGGAUCCGAGCGUUAUCCGGAUUUAUUGGGUUUAAAGGGAGCGUAGAUGGGUUGUUAAGUCAGUUGUGAAAGUUUGCGGCUCAACCGUAAAAUUGCAAUUGAUACUGGCAGUCGUGAGUACAGUUGAGGUAGGCGGAAUUCGUGGUGUAGCGGUGAAAUGCUUAGAUAUCACGAAGAACCCCGAUUGCGAAGGCAGCUUACUAAACUGUGACUGACAUUGAUGCUCGAAAGUGUGGGUAUCAAACAGGAUUAGAUACCCUGGUAGUC